AGGUCUACAAGCAUGUCUGUCGUUGAUCCUAGCGUUAUUUUAGCGAUAUCAGAAGGUCGUGGAAUGGCUCGUGGGGAAAUAGGAAUGGCAGCUAUAGAUUUACGCCAUCCUCAUAUGGUUUUGUGCCAGUUCAGUGAUACUCUGCUGUACACCCACACUCUUACGAAAAUCAACUAUUUUAACCCAAUUGAGGUCUACCUUUCAUUACUUCUAUUAAAUUAAACUACUUAAUAUGUCUCUUAUAAAGAUUAUAUUUCUCGAAAA
rnacentral:misc_RNA from 1 species